AGCCAGACUACCUUCGUACACAAUUACUCAAUCCACCGUAAGGCUCUUUAAUAAGAAACAAGUGUGACAACGGCAAGGCUCUUUUCCCCCUUUCUCUCUCUUUCUCUCCUCCUCCUCCUCCCUCCCUCUUAAACCACAGAGUCAAAUAGCUCUAAUAGAGAUGAAGCUUGAUAGAUCCGCCCAGGUGUAGGUGAAAUGGUAGAGCCUCAGGGGUAAUAGAUGCUGUGCUUGCUUGCUGGAGUUUAGUGUUCUGUCCUGACCGGCUCUCCAGAGCUACGCUGACACCGGCUGCUCCUUGUACAGUUACAAAGUCAACAUGCUUCUUGCUGCUCACGUCUGUGCCUAACCCAGAGGGCAACCUGGAGCUAGGUAGGAGCCACAGAUCAGCCCUCGGACUCCAGCUCAAGGACAAAGGACCACAGAUGCAGCAAAUUUAAAGCACAAUCCAUGGGACAGCCUGUAACGUGACAAAGAAAAGACCUCAUCAAGAAAUAUCUUCAUCCCUGCAGGGCAUGCACAGGCCACAUAGACUUCACUUUCUCUCGGUACUUGCCAGCUGUGAUACUGAAAUACCAAGGUCUGAGAUUUUACAAACAGCAGCAGCAACAACAUCUGGACCUGUGAAACUUUAAUCUUGGCUGCUUUCCUUCCUCGCUUUGUGGCUUCCAGGCAC
ensembl:lncRNA